GACGAACGCUGGCGGCGCGCCUAACACAUGCAAGUCGAACGGAGUUGUGUUGAAAGCUUGCUGGAUAUACAACUUAGUGGCGGACGGGUGAGUAACACGUGAGUAACCUGCCUCUCAGAGUGGAAUAACGUUUGGAAACGAACGCUAAUACCGCAUAACGUGAGAAGAGGGCAUCCUCUUUUUACCAAAGAUUUAUCGCUGAGAGAUGGGCUCGCGGCCGAUUAGGUAGUUGGUGAGAUAACAGCCCACCAAGCCGACGAUCGGUAGCCGGACUGAGAGGGUGAACGGCCACAAGGGGACUGAGACACGGCCCUU
rnacentral:rRNA from 1 species